rnacentral:lncRNA from 1 species
UACAUUAUUUUAAAUUACGAUUUAAGGCCUUUAAGCCCAAAAUUAAACUAGAGAAUUUUAGGUAGCUUUGAUGAGGGUGGGCCUGUUCAAAAGGCCUGAACUGAAAGUAAGCUGAACUUACAACUAAAAUUAACUAAGCAAGUAAAAUUAACCCAUCAGACUUUUAGAAAAUAAACAUCUUAUACUAAUCAAUUGACCAAUACAUGAAACAAUAGGCAUAAAUUAGGAAAGAAAAACCGAUUUCGGAUUUCAUGUCCAACCUAAACAACCUCUAAUCAUAAUUCCAAUUGACAGUGCAAUUUAGUACUCCAAUUACUUAAGUAUUUUCCUUGACUUCUAUGUUAUAGCUCUAGAUUAUUGUUCCUGAAGAACUAAAGUGUGUCAGUUUGCCAUUUUAACAUUUACAACGAUUAAAUGGAUCAACAAUUCACCCAAAAUGUGUUAAAAGUUCAGAACCUGACAUUACACUUAUGAAACUUAAACCCAAAUCAAAUUUCGUUUUUGAAAAACCUGUAAACUAGUAAAUACGGAUCAAUUUAUGCUUAUGCAAUUGUUAACUACACAUGAAGAACUAGCAUCAAUUUCUAUGUUUUUGUUGUUGUUAACAUUAAACUAAUAGUCAAACGAAAUUACACUAGAUUAACGAAUGUCUACAGUUCAAUAUAUAUCAAUCUAUUCAAAUCAGUUAGAAGUAGUUCUAAUUAAACAGUCCCCGGUCUAAUACAAACCAAACAAAUUAAAGCUAGAUAACUACACAUCAUUUGACUGACUAUAACUACAUGCAUCCAAACGAGCAUAUAUCUGGAAUACUAUUUCAUUUCAUUCUAAUUCGAGGCUACAUCAGUGUGAAUUCAAAGUGUGUACCUGAAAUUACAAUGAAAUAGAAGAGAGGAAGAUGAUCUGAAACAGUAGAUAGCAGACAAUAGAAAAAACUUUAGUCCAACACAGCCUCAAAAUCCCAGAAGUGAAAGAAGAAAAAGCAGCACCAGUAACAUGAUCUAAAUAGCCCAGAUAGAACCCAGCCAACUCGAAAUUACACCUUGAAUUACUUCUGCCAGUAUAUUACUCAAAAACAACAUGAAAUAACUCGAAAUUGGACUUCAAACUCUAGGAAUCAGAAUGAACAAUUAACUCGCCAUUAACCCAACAUUCCUUAAUGCAAUAGUACUUUUUUUUGAAUUUUCUCUCUCUUUUUUUUUUGUACUUUUUCUGAAGAUCUAAGAUCUAAAAGAGUUUUUGAAUUUGAAUUUCAAAUUAUCAAUUGAUGGAAACUAUAGAAUGUUUUUUGGGUAAAUAUUGGAUGCUAAAAACUUGUGAAUUAAGGCAUUGACACUGCCUUUUAUAGGCAAAAUGAGAGCAACCAUCAGAUUUUUAAUUUACACUAUUAGUCCCUCUUUUAUUUGUACUUUUUAGGUAGUUACUCCCUUAUUUACUGACUUAUUACCCAAGCUACCCCAUUAUGAAUCUGAAACUUCAACUAGAACCCCUUCUAGGUGUUUCUAGAAUUUUCUGAUUUCAGUUAUUACCAAAUUCCCUUUGUCCAAAAACUUAUACUACCCCUCAAUUCAACCUGAAAUUACCAACUCACUAUCAUCUAACCUAGCCCCCAUGAUUAACUAAAACCUAGAUUAUUUAGCCAUAACCAAAAUAAUUUCAGAAGCUACACGAUUGAAUUAAUAGCAAACUGAAAAUUAGUCUAGAUUCCUACUUCUAUCACUUUAUCAAUUAAACAAGAUUGACAAACAAAAUCAGACUAAACUUGAGUCAUGAAUUACCUAACUCACUUAAAUAUAAACUAUUAAAACACGAACACAAGAUUAACUAAUCAAAAUUACUAACUGAAAGCAGAAAAUAACAUCACUAAUCAAAAAUAAAAAACGAACCAGCAAAAUAAACAUGAACUAAAGUUAUGAUAAAAACAAGAACUAGCACAUGAAUACAACUACACACAGCUAAACAAAAUUAAACCAAAUUAAUCAUCAAAAAAAAAUGGAAACUCACUUAUUUAACUUCUAAAAUCCGGCUAAUUCUCAAAUUCUAAAUCCGACAUCUCUUGUGAAAUUUGAAUACUACUGAUGAUGAAUUCCUCAUGAGGGAAGUAAGGGGGUCACGUGGUAUCGAUUUGGUGAAGUUUGGAGAAUUUUGAGGUUUUGGCCGGAACUUUGAUCAGAUAUUUAAGGAGUUCGGCGGGGAUUCGAGGGACGGGGUUUGGAAAGAGGAGAACGAGGCGGUUUUAGGGUGUGAAUUUGAAGAGAUUGGGUAACUUUGGUUUUUUGCCGGAAUCUUUUGCGUCAAGAUUCGAAAGAACUGAUAGGGACUUGAGAGAAAUUGAUCAUGGAUUUGUAAUGAGAAGGUUGAAACGAUAUAGGGGUGUAAAUUUGGGGUGGUUUGGAGACCGGCCUCCGCCGUGGGCGAUUUUCGGCGAUGGCAGGCGGCAGAGAUGAAGAGGGGUCUCUAAGGGUAUGUUGAGGAUGAUGAGAGGGGGUUGGGGGGGAGGGGGGGUAGUUCGGAUAGUUAAAUAUCAAGAACACCCUACUUCAGGGUCGUUGGAUUGAGAUACC